rnacentral:rRNA from 1 species
GACGAACGCUGGCGGCGUGCUUAACACAUGCAAGUCGAACGAAGUGGCGAACGGGUGAGUAACGCGUGAUCAACCUGCCCUUCAGAGGGGGACAACAGUUGAAAACGACUGCUAAUACCGCAUACUGAAGGUGGUGAUUGCGGCUGAUUAGCUAGGUGGAGGGGUAAUGGCCCACCAAGGCGAGGAGUAGUAGUCUGUCCGGGGGGAUGAACGGCCAACAUGGGACUGGGGAACGGCCCAGAAGCCUACGGGAGGCAGCAGUGGGGAAACUUCCGCAAUGGACGAAAGUCUGACGGAGCAACGCCGCGGGAGGGAUGACGGCCUUCGGGUUGUAAAGCUCUGUUAAUCGGGACGCGGUACCGGAAGAGAAAGCCACGGCUAACUACGUGCCAGCAGCCGCGGUAAUUC